rnacentral:ncRNA from 1 species
GGCACGCUCCUUGCUGAAUAUGAACUAACGGUGGCGGCCAAUGGCGGUGGCCACCGUCCAAGACAAAGGCGUCUU